AAGUCGUAACAAGGUCUCCGUAGGUGAACCUGCGGAGGGAUCAUUAAUGAGAACUUGCCCUAACGGGUAGAUCUCCCACCCUUUGUUAACCAAACUUGUUGCUUUGUCGGCCCGACCCUCGGGGUCCCCGGCCUUCGGGCUGGUCAGCGCCGGGACAGAGGAAAACUAAAACCCUUUUAUCACUGUUGUCAGAGUACUAUAUAAUAGUUAAAA
rnacentral:misc_RNA from 1 species